rnacentral:rRNA from 1 species
AUGCGGCGGGCGAGCUGGAUGUCCUUGGGCAUGAUGGUGACGCGCUUGGCGUGGAUGGCGCACAGGUUGGUGUCCUCGAACAGCCCCACCAGGUACGCCUCGGCCGCCUCCUGGAGGGCCAGCACGGCGUGGCUCUGGAACCUGAGGUCCGUCUUGAAGUCCUGCGCGAUCUCGCGGACCAGGCGCUGGAAAGGCAGCUUGCGGAUCAGCAGCUCCGUGCUCUUCUGGUACUUGCGGAUCUCCCGGAGCGCCACGGUCCCGGGCCUGUAG